rnacentral:rRNA from 1 species
AUUGAACGCUGGCGGCAGGCCUAACACAUGCAAGUCGAGCGGAUGAAGGGGGCUUGCUCCUGGAUUCAGCGGCGGACGGGUGAGUAAUGCCUAGGAAUCUGCCUGGUAGUGGGGGAUAACGUCCGGAAACGGGCGCUAAUACCGCAUACGUCCUGAGGGAGAAAGUGGGGGAUCUUCGGACCUCACGCUAUCAGAUGAGCCUAGGUCGGAUUAGCUAGUUGGUGGGGUAAAGGCCUACCAAGGCGACGAUCCGUAACUGGUCUGAGAGGAUGAUCAGUCACACUGGAACUGAGACACGGUCCAGACUCCUACGGGAGGCAGCAGUGGGGAAUAUUGGACAAAGGGCGAAAGCCUGAUCCAGCCAUGCCGCGUGUGUGAAGAAGGUCUUCGGAUUGUAAAGCACUUUAAGUUGGGAGGAAGGGCAGUAAGUUAAUACCUUGCUGUUUUGACGUUACCAACAGAAUAAGCACCGGUUAACUUCGUG